rnacentral:tRNA from 5 species
GGGCAGUUACCAAAGUGGCCAAAUGGGGCUGACUGUAAAUCAGCUGUCUCCGACUUCGGGGGUUCGAAUCCCUCACUGCCCACCC